GGCGCUUAUACACAGAAGGCAAAGAACAAAGAAAGAGGCAGACCACUCCAGAUUGUUGCCCUGUAUGCCACAGUUACCAGGGGUGCUGCUUAACAAUGAAGAUUGCCUGUUCCAGUCCAGAUCUUCUGAUCCGAAAGAAGCUCACUGAGGGGAAAAAUUCAUAUGUUGCAAGGACUGUGAAACAAGGGAGAGAAAAACAACUCCACAGACCAGAAGUUACCUUCAAUACCUAUUUAAUGGUUCCAUAUUUCUAUUUUGUUCUAUACUUUCAAAUACAUUUUAUAGACCUGUUCUGUUAUAUGUGAAUGAUGCUAUAACUUCAGACAAGGAAAUACAUAUCUUAUUAUGUUUUAUUUUACAUAAUUGAACCAUCUACAGUAGCAUUGUUUCAGAAAUAAAGACAAAUGAUUUAACUUUUUAAUUAAGCCUUAAAACCCCAAUUAAAUGCCUAAAUU